ACCAUAUCUGUGGUUAUAAACCAAAAGAUUCCUUGUAAAUAUAUGAUUGACAUUUGGAAACAUCUAAAAUUUGAGUCAAAGGUAAUUUUUGUAUUAUGUAAGAGAAGUCAAACUGGAAUGUGACUGUAAGCAGAAAUUAAAUCAGUUUUAUUAUAUCUGUCUGGAGGAAGAUUAUGAGAACUGAAGCAAGAUGAUAACCAGGUACAUAGAACAGUAGAGCCGAAAGAUUUGAGGGUUGUCAGUAUUUAUCCAACUCUGUCUAGGGAAGAGGUGCUAAAUCUGUAUACAGUGAACAUGUUGGCUAUUUUGUGUUCUGGUCUAUAUGUUAUCUUCUAUGAGUUUGGUGAAAGGGAAUCACAAAAUAUGUAAUAAGUUACUGAAGUUCCAUCCUCCCUUCUCAUUUUCAUGAGUAUUUCAAGAGAAAUUGUUCUCUAGACCAAUCCUACUAAAAGUUUGGUCUGUGAUCUAGAACCAACCAACCUACACACUCUUUGUUGCUGGUCUGAGAAAAGAUAAGUAUAAAAAUAUUUAAAACUUUUAUAGCAAUUUCUAAGGGUAACAAUGUCUACUGAAUUUAAUUUUAUAAAUUAAGCUUGUAUUUUUAAGUAUUUGAAAUUUUCAUUUUUAAUUAAUUCACUUUUAUUAAGAAAUACUGCUGAAAACUUUGGAAAUUGAUUAGUUAUUUAAUGAAAAGAAUUGCUAUGGGUACCUUCCUUUAGUCUUUGAUGCAUGAGGCUGCUCCAUGAUCUCUUGCAACAGGCCACAGACCAGUACCAGUUUUGCACAGCAGGGCCAGUAACCAGGCUGCACAGCAGGAGGCGAUUGGCAGGCAAGCAAGUGAAGCCUCAUCUGUAUUUAUAGCCACUCCGCAUCAUUCACGUUACUGCCUGAACUCUGCAUCCCGCUCAACGAAAUCAAUAAAUGUAUGCACUUGAAUCAUCCCCACACCACCACCAGCCCUCCACUGUCUGGCGGAAAAUUGCCUUCCAUGGAAUCAAUCCCUGGUACCAAAAUGAUUGGGGACUGAUACCUUACAAUAUUAUUUAUUCCUCGUCUGUCCAUCCUGGGUUGCUGUCAUCAAGAGGAAAGAAACCAUUCAUACUAUUUCUCAGCUUCCUUUAAUAAGCUUUAAGAACUAUGAUUGUGGUUUUACAAAUAUAUAAAUAUGUUUAUGGAUAUAUGGGCUUGUGCCAGUCAGGACAGCUUAGAGUUAUUAGAGCACACUUCCAUAGUGUUAAAAAGGAAACUGCAAAUGUUAUUAAUAUUUACAACAUCAGAUGACAGCGAGGAAAAGUAUGUCAACAACAAACUUACAGACUUUUUAUAGUCUUUGGGAAAUUUUGUUCUUUAACCCAGAUUGCUUUUUACUGCUAUUUAAGCCCUUCUGCUUAUAUUUAGUAUUCAUUGUGUAAAGUAAGUUCACUAUUUUUCAUAAGUAAUAAUGGAAAUGGAACUCUGUUGGAUAGUUUUAUGCACUGUUCCUUCCCCAAAUAACUCUAUACAAGUUCCUGAUGUUUACAUGUCGUAUGAUCCUUUCAAUUAAUUUUAAAUGGCUUUGAAAAGUUGUUACAGAGGAGUAUUUAUAGUUAUAAGAAGUAAUUAGCCUCCAGUGAAAAUAAAUAAAUUAAAAUAUAUAUUUUUUUCUUCAUUAGCAUGUUAUUUGUAGACCUGAAUUGAUUUUGAUGAAAUUCAACUGGUUAAUUCCUCACUGAUGGACAUUGUGAAUAUCAAUGAUCAAUGUCUCUUCUCUCCAGUGUUCUUUCCAAUGAGAAAGGGAACAGAGGUGAGUAAAACCCUCUAACUUCACACUGCCAUAGAGUCUUACUGUCUUGGAUAUGUCUUGUCCAAAACCCAUCAUCCUGCUCUAUGGACAGGCUUUGUGAUAAACACUUUAUGAAAAUUAUCUGACAACCUACUUGGCAGAUGAGAAAACACAUUCUUUAUUUUCUUUUUGAAACCCCCUUGUUUUGUCUGUCACUCUGGGGGAUCCUGGUUUAUCUCCCCCUGUCUUCCUAAUCUCCAAGUGUUGAUAUUCUUAAGGAUAUUUAUUAUUUUUUCUCUGGUAUACUCUUAUACUUUACAGUCUCAGAGUCAUUUAGAAGAUUUCUUUGGUUUCAACUUCCAAACAUUACCUGUGCUUCCAGUAGAUUCUGUCUUGAGUACCAGAUGCAUAUUUUCAUGGUAUGAGCUCCAAGUACCUCAUACUUCAUGGCCAAAGCUGAGCCAAUAAUCUCCCUUCCCUAUGAGACCAGUUAUUUUUUGUUGUCUUGAUACCAGUGACUUUGUCUCAGGCCAUCAGAUGCCCCAGCCAGGAACCUGGCAGUCAUACUAGCCUCCUUCCUUCUAUUCACUUACAGUUCAGUUGCUCGGUCGUGUCUGACUCUUGCGACACCAUGGACUGCAGCACGCCAGGCUUCCCUGUCCAUCACUAACUCCCGGAACUCAUGUCCAUCAAAUCAGUCUAUCCAACCAUCUCAUCCUCUGUUGUCCCCUUCUCCUCCUGCCUUCAAUCUUUCCCAGCAUCAUGGUCUUUUCCAAGGAGUCAGUUCUUCGCAUCUGACAAAGAUGGCCAAAGUAUUGGAGUUUCAGCUUCAGCAUCAGACCUUCCAAUGAAUAUUCAGGACUGAUUUCUCUUAGGAUUGACUGGUUUGACCUUGCAGUCUAAGGGAUUCUCAAGCGUCCUCUUCAACAUCACAGUUCAAAAGCAUCAAUUCUUUGGUGCUCAGGCUUCUUUAUAAUCCAACUCUCAUGCCCAUAUAUGGCUACUGGAAAAGCCAUAGGUUUGACUAAAUGGACCUUUGUCAGCAAAGUAUUGUCUCUGGUUUUUAAUAUGCUAUCUAGGUUGGUCAUAACUUUCCUUCAAAAGAGUAAGUAUCUUUUAAUUUCAUGGCUGUAGUCACCAUCUGCAGUGAUUUUGGAGCCCCCCGCCCAAAUAAAGUCUCUCACUGUUUCCACUGUUUCCCCAUCUAUUUGCCAUGGAGUGAUGGGACCGGGUGCCAUGAUCGUAGUUUUCUGAAUGUUGAGAUCUAAGCCAACUUUUUCACUCUCCUCUUUCAUUUUCAUCAAGAGGUUCUUUAGCUCUUCUUUGCUUUCUGCAAUAAAGGUGGUGGGAUCUGAAUAUCUGAGGUUAUGGAUAUUUCUCCCAGCAAUCUUGAUUCCAGCUUCUGCUUCAUCCAGCCCAGCAUUUCGCAUGAUAUACUCUGCAUGUAAGUUAAAUGAGCAGGGUGACAAUAUACACCCUUGAUAUACUCCUGUCCCAAUUCUGAACCAGUCUAUUGCUCCAUGUCCGGUUCUAACUGUUGCUUCUUGACAUGCAUACAGAUUUCUCAGGAGGCAGGUAAGGUGGUCUGUAUUCCCAUCUAUUGAAUUUUCCACAGUUUGUUGUGAUCCACACAGUCAAAGGCUUUGGCAUAAUCAGUAAAGCAAAAGUAGACGUUUUUCUGGAAUUCUCUUGCUUGUUCUAUGAUGCAGUGGAUAUUGGCAAUUUGAUCUCUGGUUCCUCUGCCUUUUCUAAAUCCAGCUUGAACAUCUAAAAGUUCACGGUUCAUGUACUGUUGAUGCCUGGCUUGGAGAAUUUUGAGCAUUGCUUUUCUAGCAUGUGAGAUGAGUCCAAUUGUGUGGUAGUUUGAACAUUCUUUGACAUUGCCCUUCUUUGAAAUUGGAAUAAUAACUGAACUUUCCCAGUCCUCUGGCCACUGCUGAGUUUUCCUAAUUUGCUGGCAUACUGAGUGCAGUACUUUCACAGAGCCAUUUUUUAGAAUUUGAAAUAGCUCAACUGGAAUUUUAUCACCUCCACCAGCUUUGUUGGUAGUGAUGCUUCCCAAGAUCCACUUGACUCCCCAUUCCAGGAUGUCUGGCUCAAGGUGAGAGAUCACACAAUCAUGAUUAUCUGGGUCAUGAAGAUCUUUUUUGUUUAGUUUUUCAGUGUACUCUUGCCACCUCUUUUUAGUAUCUUCUGCCCUGUUAGGUCCAUACCAUUUCUGUCCUUUUUCGUGCCCAUCUUUGCAUGAAAUGUUCCCUUGCUAGCUCUAAUUUUCUUGAAAGAUCUCUAGUCUUUCCCAUUCUAUUGUUUUCCUCUAUUUCUUUGCAUUGAUCACUGAGGAAGGCUUUCUUAUCCCUUCUUGCAGUUCUUUGGAACUCUGCAUUCAAAUGGGUAUAUCUUUCCUUUUCUCCUUUGCCUUUAACGUCUCUUUUCUCAGCUAUUUUUAAGGCCUCCUCAGACAACCAUUUUUCCUUUUUGCAUUUCUUUUCUUGGGGAUGGUUUUGAUCAUAUCCUACUGUAUGGUGUCACAAACCACUGUCCAUAGUUCGUAAGGCAUUCUGUCUAUCAGAUCUAAUCCCUCAAAUCUGU
ensembl:lncRNA